CACACACACACACACACACGGGGCAGUGAAGCGGAUGGAAGUGCAUUGUUAUCACCACCACACCACACCACACCACCACGCACCACGGCAUCCUCUCGUCCCGCCCUGCCGCGCUGACCCCCGCCAGGCCCUGCCCCGGCUCGCCGCUGCUAAGACUCAUACGUGAAGGAAAACCAGAAUUACCCACAAAAAUAGAUAAAUAACCCCCAAAAUGCUUGAAAUAAGGCAGAAGGAAGUUUAAAUUUACAACCCCGUUCUGAGCGCCCACCAGCAGGACCCAGACCGAGACCAAGACCUUCCCGCUCUCUCCCCGCGUCUCCUCGUUAAUAUUUCCGUCAAUUUCCAGGGUUUUCCGGACAUUUCCAGUGAGUCGUCCAGUCAACUCUUCAGUCUUUCAGUCAGUCUAUCUAUCAGUCCUUUUAGUGGUUAACAAAGCACCAAAGAGCAGACGAAGUACCCAGCCCCGCCCUACGUAGAGAACAGUACCUGCAGAGGGGCGAGGCGGGACAGAGAGGCGGGGUAAUAAGGUAACAGAGGGUCCGCGUGGAGUUAAUGGGUUACGUGUUCACCUGGCUGAUUCACGGGCGCUGUGCAAUGACUGAAGUAAUGAGUGGAGAGUACUGUGCCUGAAUGAACUGAGAGAGAAAACCUGAUGUGACCUUAAUGCAUUGAAAGAGCACGGCUGUUUUGCGGGGAGACUGACCUAGUACAAAAAAUAAAUAAAUAAAUAAAUAAAUAGGUAAAUAGAUUGAUUAAGAAUGUUGGGAAAAGAUGGUGAGGAAAAGAAGGGAAGAGAAAAAUGUAAGAAUGCAGUGAAAAAGGGAGGAUGAGGAGGAAGGAAAGCAAAAAUAAAAUUGAAGGAGAAAAGUAAAAAGUAAAAAAAAUGAAAAAAAUGAGGAAGGGAAAAGAAAAGGGAGAAGGUGAAGAAAAAAUGAGGAUCUAAAUGAGAAAGAAAGAAGAAAAUAAAAAUAUAGAUAAAGAAGGAAAAGAAAGAACUGAGAAAGACGAUGAGAAAAAGGAAAAAGAAGGGAAGAAAAAGAAGGAAAGCGGUAAUCCAGAUGAGAAAGAAAGAGAGAAAAGAGAAAAUAUACAAAAAAGAAAACAAUUUUGAAAGACGAUGAGAUGAGAAAAGGAAUAGAAAAAGAAAACGAACAAAAAAGUGGAAAACUAAUAAAAAAAAAAAGCAAAGAAAAAAUUAGGAAAACGAUGAAAAAAAUGAAAAGAAAAAGAGAAGAACAAAAAAUGAAAAGCUAACCAAAAAAAGCAACAAAAAAACAAAACUGGAAAACGAUGAGAAAAAAAAAUAAGACAAACAAAAACUUUUAACCCAACAAAAAAAUAAAUAAAUAAAUAAAACAAACCAAAGAAAAAAAUAUAUACUAAAACUUGCAAGACUAUGAGAAAGGGAAGAAAACGGAAGAGGAAGAGGAAGAGGGAAACAAGAUGGCGGCGCAUUUUUGAAGUUUCCCCCUCCUCCCUUGAGAUGAGAUGGUGAAAUAAGAGGAGAGGAGAAGGAGAAAGAUGAUAAAAGAGGCAGGAGAGGAAGAUGAACAAUGAAGGAAAAAGAGAAGAGGAGGAGGAGAAGGAGAAAGACAACAAGGAAAUGAAAAAACAAGAAAAGGAGAAUGAAGAAGACAAGAGACAGGACGAAGAUGAGGAGAUGGAGACAGAAUGAAAAGGAGGAGGAAAGCAAACAAGAGGAAGAAGAAGUCCUCUUACUGACACAUGGAGAGUCUUCUUGGAGACCGGGGGCUGACGUGGCAGCAGUGGCGUCAACAGGGCAGUGUGUGUCGGCAGGGAGGAGAGGGAAGAGGCGGAAUGGCAUGGAAGAGGAAGAUUAUCAAGGUGGAUAAAAAAGUAAGAAAGGAGGAGGCAGAAGAAAAUGCUGAAAGAAGACAAGAAGAAAAUGUUACUAGGGAAAACAGCUUGAAAGAUCAACACCAAGGAGAAGAGGAGCCUUGAGAAAGAGGAAAACAAAAGAAACAGCAUUAGCCCAGCAGAAGAGGAGGAGGAACAAGCAGGUGUUAAGGGGUAAGAAAAAGAGAGAGAGCAACCAACCUAGCAAGAAAGUCCAUCACCACCAAUGAACCAAAACACCACCACCACCACCACCACCACCAACUGCAGCUCAUCAUCAUCAUUAUCACACCUCAAACACACACACGUCUGUCUGUCUCCUUCACCAUAAGUCUCUAUCAACAGGCCACCAAGCUGACAUCUACAGGUGCAGCGGAGACCAAACACACACACACACACACACAGUCAGCAUAUCUUAACAUAACAGGGAGUUGCAUGUGGCUAACAAGCACACCUAUUGUUUUGCUAUUGUAUACACCACAGAAGAGCAGAGUGUGGGAGAAAUGACCACUGAUGUAAAUCUAGCAUUGCACCACUUCAGAUUCAUUCUCUCUCUCUCUCUCUCUCUCUCUCUCUCUCUCUCUCUCUCUCUCUCUCUCUCUCUCUCUCUCUCUCUCUCUCUCUCUCACCACAGCCCACAGACCCCACAGGAUGUCCCCCACAGUAUGUUUAUAAACCACAGUGACUCACCACAGUGACUCACAUAGAAAGUCUCUCUCUCUCUCUCUCUCUCUCUCUCUCUCUCUCUCUCUCUCUCUCUCUCUCUCUCUCUCUCUCACCACAGACUCACAGGAUGCCUCCCAGUCUAUCUAUAAACCACAGUGACUCAUCACAGCCUGUCACAUCAACACUGUCUAUAUUACCCACCACUAUAUUAUUAGCCUGGCCAGAUCAGUCUCCCAGAAAACAAAAACAACUACACACAGCUGCACUCUUGAUCUUUGUACUUCACUAGAUUACAAUGAGAUCUAGACACUCAAAACAUUCCCCACUCAUACCACUCUGCUCUUCCUCAUCCUUAUCUUCCUCCUCCUCCUCCUCCUCCUCUAAACACACACACACACACACACACACACACACACACACAUGCCAACACUUACCAAUAUCUGAGGUGUCUUGAGGCCUCCUGUGUCACUGCCUGCCCCAGACACCCUGCUGCUGGGUACUCUAUUGUGCUGCAAGGAGAAAUGUGUCACUUUAGUACAUCUCUGGGAACUUGUACCACACACACACUGACUGACUGCUUUUAUCCACUCCAGUUCUCUUUCCUCCUGUACCUAUUUAAUUGUUCCUCUUCCUCUAUCCACUUAGCUCUUCCUCUUAUCCACUUCAUUCUUUCUCCUCUUUUACACAUGUACCACUGACCAAAAAAUGACUGUUUCUAUUCAUUUCAGUCCUCUUUCCAUUUCUCAAUCCACUUCGCUCUUCCUCGUCUUCCACUGACUGGUGGACUGGUGGCUUGGUGGGAUUAAUGUGGUGCAUAAUAAGUGCUGCACUGCAUGUUGAAUAUAUAAAUACAUGCAUACAUUAUACCAUGGCUGUCUUCCCCACACCACAAAGGAGGGUGGCCAAGAUAAGACACACAACUGUCACAUUCACUCAUCUCUUUGUCCCUCAACCCGUGACAGGGAAGAGAAAGUAACGUACUCCUGUCUCAAAAUAUGAAUGACACAAAAAAUGCUUGGUGAGAUUAACUUCUAAUGUUUUAUGACUACUACUACUACUACUACUACUACUACUACUACUACUACUGCUGCUUUUGUGACUAUUACUACUACUACUACCUGUCCAUCUAUAUACCAUACAUACCCCAUACAAGGUGGCUCAUACAAAGCACUACUACUACUAAUACUCAAGUUCUACUACCAUUACCUCUACUACUACAAUACUACCACUACCAUCACUACCACCUCUGCUACUACUACUAACACCACUAGCACCACUCACUUUGUACUCUUUGUUGUAGCCUUCCUUGACACACUCAGGGCACUCCCAGCUGUUUGGCAGGUCCUCGUUCACAAUGCCGUCCGCAUCAGGGAACUGUGGAAGAGAAGAAUGAUGCAAAGUUUGAUUGGUGUUAGUGUUCAUGAUAUGCUGACCAAUAAAUGUGCUGGAAUUGUUA